rnacentral:lncRNA from 1 species
GAAAAGGUGGAAGCAGGUGUAGAAAGGGCAGGAAAACGGGAGUGUGCAAUGUGGGCAGAGCCAUGGAGGCAAAGGACAGUGGCCGCCUCCAGCAUCAGCAGCUGUGGAGUCAGCAGAAACCAACCCCUCCACUCAAGGGACAAGAGGAUCCACAUCUUAGCUUGUUAGCAUCUUAGGUGGAUCUCAAACGUCUUGUGAUGAGAAUCAUCCACCCCAGGUCGCCUGAGUCAGGACUUCUGCAGGUGCAGCCUGGACAUCCCAGAGUCCUUUCUCGUCUUUCCCUCUGAUUGCUUCCCAUGUGAGAGAACAUCAGCUACCCCGUCUCUGAAGUACGGCACAGCCAGAGGUCAGAUGGCCUCUUCUGACUUCACUGCCCAGGGUGCUGGACAUGAGACCAUGAGGGCUAAGCUGACCAGGAAGCAGAGGGAGGAAGGUGUCACCUCCACGCAGCUUUUCUUCUAGGCAUGGUUGCAGGAACGUUGUAGAAAUUAUUAGGUAACCUACAUUUCCACUCUAUAGGGAAAGAAGUCUUCUGAGAAAUCUUUUUUUUUUUUUUUUUUUUUUGAGACGGAGUCUUGCUCUGUCACCCAGGCUGGAGUGCAGUGACGCAAUCUCGGCUCACCGCAAGCUCCACCUCCUGGGUUCAUGCCAUUCUCCUGCCUCAGCCUCCCAAGUAGCUGGGACUACAGGCACCUGCCACCAUGCCUGGCUAAUUUUUUUUGUAUUUUUUUUUUUUAGUAGAGAUGGGGCUUCACCGUGUUAGCCAGGAUGGUCUCGAUCUCCUGACCUCAUGAUCCACCCGCUUCAGCCUCCCAAAGUGCUGGGAUUACAGGCAUGAGCCACUGCGCCCAGCCUGAGAAAUCUUCACAGUACUGAGAAAUCUUCACAGUACAAUAGUAUUCCACUAUGAUUUGAAAAUGUUUUCAGUUGUCAUAGUUAAGUAGUUACAGGCAUAGCUAUAGAGCUAGAUGAACCCAGGAAUGAAAUGCUCAUUCUGCCUCUGACUUUGUUGAGGGAUGUGGAUAAUUUUGCUCAGCCUCUCUGAGUAUCAGUUUAUCUCUCAGUGAUACAGAGACUGAGAGUCAGAGGCAAACACUCAUCCCCAGCCCAGCACGAUCUCUGGAAUAUUCAAGGCUCAAUAAACAUGAGCUGUGGUGCUGUCACCCAGCCCUUGCUCUAAAGUAACCACUCACAUUCACUAAGAAUGCACUUUAAGAAUUAAAUGCUACAUUUUUCUACAUAGUGGAAAUGUGUGACAAGAAUUCAAUGUUUUUUUCAGGUAGAGCCUAACACAUGUGACCCACACCAUGUCAAAAUGCAAAAGAGUAAAAGAGUAAUGUAAAAAUGAGAAACUGGGGAGAAUCUCAGCACCACCAAAGCAGCAUUUAACUGCUUUUUAAGAAAAAGUAGGCCCUUUGUUUCCAUUCUAUUUUACUAAAUACCACUAAAAAAACCUAUCUUCCUUUCUUAUUAUUUACCCUCUAUAAUUGACCUUCCUACUAGUUAGCGAUAGCCAUUUGUCUCCAUUUGUAAAUACUUGAAGAGUAGCAAAAAUUUAAAUUAUUUUUAACAGAAGCUAGGAACAAUAUAAUCAUUUAUAAGCAUACAUUCUUUAGUAACUCUGAGCUAUCUUCAUAAUUUACCCAGAAAGAAUCUACCUUAAGAAGGAAGUCUCCUCUUGAUUUCCUUUCUCAGUCAGCCCAAUAUAGGGCCUGCUGUUUCUCUUUCAUUGCCAUAAAUUCUCAAAUGGCCACAUCAUACAUGACACUAAGAAGCUUAGCCCGGACAGUUGCAAGAGUGAAAGAUGCCUCUGACACAGUGGAGGAGCUGGGAUGUGGACUUGGCUGGUGAGGCCGGAGGGACAGAGUGAACACACGUUUGCAUCAGACAUGCUGGAUUCCAGGGUCAGGUGUGCCGGCAUGUGGCACCGGCAGCCGACAAUACUGGGUUCUGAGCAGUUCAGGACUGGAGACUGAGAACUGUGUGUCAUUCAGACACAUACUUGGAGUAUCCAGUGCUGGAAGCCAUGAGAAAGGGCAUGACUCAGGGUGUGACACUGGGUCGAGAGCAACAGUCUGACAGACACCCUAAUCCAGCACUGGCCACAGACAUCGGGCAUCAGAGACAAGCCUCCACAUAGACGCUGCCAUGAGUCAAAUCUUGCCCCGAAAAUUCAAGUUCUCCUGGAAUCUCAGAAUGUGACCUUAAUUGGAAAUAGGAUCUUUGCAGAUGUAAUCAAGGUAAGGCUGGAGAGGAGAUCAUACUGCAUUGGAGGGGCCCGAAAUCCAACAGGAGCAUCCUUAGAAGAGACAGAAAAGGACACACGGAUGAAAGAUAGCCACGUGAAGAUGAAGGCGGAGACUGGGGUGAUGCUGCCACAAGCCAGGGACACCAAGGGUGCCUGGAACCACAGAAACUGGAAAGAGCCAAGGAAGGAUCCCCCGGCCUGCAGCCUCCAGAGGGAAGCAUUCUGCCAACCCCUUGAUUUUACACUUCUUGCCUCCAGAACUGUGGGAGAAUAAAUGUCUACCAUGUUAAGCCGCCCAGCUCCCGAUCAAAUGUUACAGCAACCACAGUCAACUAACACAGGAACCAAAACACGAGUGGCAUUGGGCAGUGACAGGAAAGCAGUGGCUUCUGCUUCAGAGGCAUCCGGAAUUGAAGAACAAAGGGGGCGUUCCUGGAGACCGUAAGGGGCACGUUCAUGGAGCAGAGGAAGCAGAGACAUGAGCGAUGGUGGGCGGAAGUCCACACCAGCCGGAAGAUCACCUUCUCCACAAGUUAGGCAACCAACAGGAGGAACCAGAAGGGACAGGCCCCAGGAGUGUUUGGGAGAGUCAAGAAAAGGAUUUUAAGGUAGCAAGACCUUGUUAUACUUGAAGGCAGCAAAAAAGUCACACAUACUUGCCCUAAGAAUUGUAAAACUCAUAGAAUUGUCAGUUAAGAUGGCUACAUCCUUGGAGCAAAGAUCAAUUUACACUUCUCUACUGUACCAUAAAUUUUGUUAUGUUAUUAAACCAAAGCCGUCUUCUUACUGUGGCCUCACAUGGUCAGCCCUCUCUGCAUGACUGUUUUCUAGUCUUAUUUUAAGGACACCCAUCAGAUUAGAUUAGGGCAUAUCCUAAUGAUCUCAUUUUUGCUUAAUUUCUUCUUUAAGGCACUAUCUGUAAAUACAGCCACAUUGUAAGGUACUAGAGGGGAGAACUUCAAUAUUCAACAUUUAAAUUUCACACAGGAGGCCCAAUUCGGCUCACCAAGUAGGAGAAUGUCCUCGUUUGUAGAAAGUACACACUAAAGGAUGUGGAAGUAACGUGGCAUCAUAUCAGCAGUUUAUUUCCAGGUGAUGUGGGAAAAAAGGGUUUUUAUACUGCACUUGCAAUUUUCCUGUAAGUUGGAAAUUGUUUUUAAAAAUUGUUUUUUUAAAAAAAGCAAUCCGUGUGGGGCAUUUAAAAUGUGUGUUACUGGGUAGGUGAGUCAACCACAUUUAAUUAAAGGCUGUGGCAGCCCUGUGAAAUCUCAGCUCUGAAUGUAUUCCAGCUCUUUCUCUCGAUCUUUGUCCACGGCAAGCGUUCCACUCAGCACGGCAUUCCUCCCGCGAUCCAUUCUCAAAUGUUGGCAUGAAUUCUUAAUAUUCUGAAAGAAAAUGAUCCUGGAAAGUAUAAAAUAUUUACACCCUGCUGUCUGUUCUGCCUCGCUUGAGGAAAAUUCUCAUCUGUACACAAAUGUUCUUCAGCUUUUGAGACCAGAUGGCAGAGAGUCAUAAAAAGACUGAAAAAUUAGAAGGCGGGAAGUGGAGCGCGAUGCCCAACAGAGAGCGGUCGUUCCCUGCGGGCUCAGCGUCUUUACGCUCUUCAGAUGAAGGGUUUGCACCUACGAGGCAGUCUCGGUCUAUCAGGCUCUGUCCAUUCCUCUUCUUAAUUUCAUAUAAAUCUCCUUUCUGCCCCCUGCACAUGACCCACGCCCAGGGAAAAUGCCUCAUUGCAAACGCUAUCAUCCGUUGGGGCCACUGAACAGGGGUGGGAUGGCUGUCGCAGCACUGAUCCCCCUGCAGGGAGGCUGACCUCAUGAGGUCUGCGAGCCUCCAUCACCGUCUUCUUCGCGGGCUCUGGGCUAGGAACUGCCCGCAGCCUCACUUGAAGGCCUUCUGUCUCUCACUUUCUCGGUCCAUCUGACCUAAUCUUGCCACUGUGAUCAUCACAGGCAAAGGUGUCAGGAGACCCCGCCAGCACACAGCAGCUGCGCUUGGGGCCUCCUAGGUUCACCUGGGGCAGCGGUCCCUAGCACGCGGGCCAGGUGAUGCCCUUCAAUCCCGAGCCAGACGCCCUCCUGCUCUUCAAUAUCACCUGUCAGUCGCCAAGGCCCUCCAUGUGAGCUCCUCCAGAAGCGGACGCUCAGGGCUAUUCGGGAGGUGAUCCCAGCAAACGCCAGGAAGGGCUGGGAAGCGAGACAGGAAAGGAGAGGAAGGCAACCCAGGGUGGGAAAGCAGGGGCGGCCUCCUGGGCUGCUGAGCCUCAGCUCGGGGCCACGGGAAGACACCCUGGCACCUGCUUCCGAGCCGUCCUCCCCGGGGCCGGGCUGGGCUCUCCAGAGGGCAGCCUCGCAGGGGCUCCGCGGGACCCUCCAGCCCUGGGGCCUG